rnacentral:rRNA from 1 species
CUACGGGGUGCUCCAGUGGGGAAUAUUGGACAAUGGGGGAAACCCUGAUCCAGCAAUGCCGCGUGUGUGAAGAAGGCCUGCGGGUUGUAAAGCACUUUCGGUUGGGAGGACUGCUUCUAGCACUAAUAUUGUUGGAAGUUGACGUUACCUUCAGAAGAAGCACCGGCUAACUCCGUGCCAGCAGCCGCGGUAAUACGGAGGGGUGCAAGCGUUAAUCGGAAUUACUGGGCGUAAAGCGCGCGUAGGCGGCUAGAUCAGUCGGGUGUGAAAGCCCCGGGCUUAACCUGGGAACUGCAUCCGAUACUGUCUAGCUUGAGUACAGGAGAGGAGAGUGGAAUUCCACAUGUAGCGGUGAAAUGCGUAGAUAUGUGGAGGAACACCAUUGGCGAAGGCAGCUCUCUGGCCUGAUACUGACGCUGAGGUGCGAAAGCGUGGGGAGCAAACAGGAUUAGAUACCCGCGUAGUC